rnacentral:rRNA from 1 species
GACGAACGCUGGCGGCGUGCUUAACACAUGCAAGUCGAACGGAAAGGCCCUGCUUUUGUGGGGUGCUCGAGUGGCGAACGGGUGAGUAACACGUGAGUAACCUGCCCUUGACUUUGGGAUAACUUCAGGAAACUGGGGCUACUACCGGAUAGGAGCUCCUGCUGCAUGGUGGGGGUUGGAAAGUUUCGGCGGUUGGGGAUGGACUCGCGGCUUAUCAGCUUGUUGGUGGGGUAGUGGCUUACCAAGGCUUUGGCGGGUAGCCGGCCUGAGAGGGUGGACGGCCACAUUGGGACUAAGAGACGGCCCAGACUCCUACGGUAGGCAGCAGUGGGGAAUAUUGCACAAUGGGCGGAAGCCUGAUGAAGCGACGCCGCGUGCGUGAUGACGGCCUUCGGGUUGUAAACCGCUUUCGCCUGUGACGAAGCGUGAGUGACGGUAAUGGGUAAAGAAGCACCGGCUAACUACGUG